ensembl:lncRNA
GUCUAUUUUACGUUGCCUAUUCCAGCAUCUGCCGUUGACUCUGAGUUGGAGCAUUUACCAUUGCAAAACUGUCACCAGCAUCUUCGAAACACGCAUUUACAUUCCACAGGUCUAGUAAAUGGGCUCUGUGGCUGCGUGAUGCCUUUUGUUUAAAAGAAAUCCAAGUGGCAGCCCGGCACUUUCCAUCCAGCUGCACUUUAUACUGUAACUGUGGCAGCUGAAAAGUAAAGCUCAAAAGAUUUUUCAGAAUCUGCUGCCCCAGCAGGUAACAUUCUGGGGUCGGUUCUUUUUAUUGUUGUUUUUUCUGCUGUUUAAAAUGUCCAAACCUUCUCGCUUGGCUAGACCUUUCUUCGCUAACGCGGCUUCUAAGCUGUCAUCAUCUAGAAGGGACGAUUUGAACAGCAAACAGAAAAAAAACAGUUUAGGUGAGAAGAUUUUGAAAACUGGGAGUGAAGGAAAUUUGGUCAAACAGCAGCAGGUGCCAACAGCAGCCAGUCCGGCUCAGCAGAAGGCUGCACCACACAAAGGGUUCAAAUUCAUUCUGGACACUACUGCCGACUGCAAUGAUGUCAAACCCUUGCGCGAUGAGGUAGCAUGGAAGGUAAUCGUGGCUAUGGACAGGCAGUGUCUCUAAUGCUUUUGCCUGUAAGAAGCUGAUCAUACCAGUAAGCAGUCAUUACUCACUGCAGGGCCUGAACGUUGCCCGGUAUUUUCCAGAAGCAGCAGCGAGUUUGUACUGAUCAUGUAUGCUCCUUUAUCUGACUGCCUUGUGACCAAUAUCACUCAUUUCUGAUGAGAGCUAAGGUCAAGGGCACAGUAUUUCUUCAGCAGAGCAAUGGUAACUUAUGCUCACAGUUACUAAAUUUACGCUUUUGGCUCAUUAUUGAUACUCGUUAGUCUGGAGUUAUGCAUUACACAUCUGUGUAGGCCGGAAAGUCUCUCCAUCCCAUUACUAAAACUCACGUGGCUUACCUUGGACGGUUGUUUUAGAAACAAAAACUAAACAUACUGAACGCUGCUUACCAGCAUUUAAUGGCAAUUUUUCUCCAACUAGCUACAGUGUGAAUUAUGACUGUGUGAGUAUUGAAAAUUAACAAUUUCUUCUAGAGUUCUCCUGAUUUUCCCUUACUAACUUUAUCGUUAUUUGUCUUCUUCUAUCUAGUAAUAGAUGAGAAGUAAGAAAUAAAAGUACCACGUGUUCCCAUAUUCUAUUUGCUUACUUGAUUCUGUUAAAAUUCAAUACAUCGGAAAAGGACUAUAAGACCACCUCUCAAAAUUAAUCUAGUGUUUUCUUUGAACUAACCCGUGCGUUUUCAGUUACUUAGACACAGACCUCUUAGCCUAGUGAGGUCAAUAACUCACAAGUCUGAUAAAAAAUUAAACGCACCGACAUUGGAGAAGCGUGGGACACUGAGGAAAAAGAGAAUUAACAGUCUCAGAAUUUUAGAGUGCGAUAAAAACUUAAAGGUCAUCCAAUUUAUCUCUCUCUUUUGAUACAUAUAGAAAAAGUCUAGUUCCUUCUUUUGAUCAAGACUAAAGGUGCACUGGCUUGCGCCAAGGUCUUCUGACUCAGUGGUUUUUUCCUCUCUUAUAUCCUCUGCAGAAAAGGCAAAAACUGCCAGAACACCUUCAGGCUUCCUUCAAAUGUUCACUUCCUUUAGCUGGACUCCUGUUAAGCUCUGGUACAUAACAUCUCUUGGACUAUGCUUCCUACACUCUUGGUUCUCUGUUGUUACUCGCUUGCUCCAAGUUCAAGAUAACUCGGCAGGGAAUUGUGCUGAUCUUUACUGCAUUUUAUCCUUGUAAAUAAUCAGAGAUCAUUUAAUGCUGAAAAGUUGUGAGCAGCAUUUCUUAUUACAUUUAUAACACACAGGUUUGCCUUUGGUUGCUUAACUCUGAUGAACCUGAUAAAGGAAUAUAUUUCUUAGCUUGAUAAAGUUAGAAAAUCAUAAAACGAUUUGCUGUUUCUCCUUUAACGAGAGUUGAAACCUAAAGUAACAAACUUUAUUUUUACAAAUAUUUUUCUAAAAUCUGUAUUUUUCAGUACCUUCCAAAAUUUAGAUCUGUGCCCCAGUGAAAUUUUUCCUCUGUCAAGAACUCGAGAUUGUAUACAACCACAAAUGAGAAAUUUUGCCAACCUCAGUAGAAUACUUACUACCUGGACUGCUUCUUCACUUUCAUGCCCUGUAGUCAGAUUUUCACUUUGUUGGAUAUGUUCCUUUCAGCUUUAAUUUUUAAGUCCACUGAGCCACCUUAUUUUCAAAAUGUGUAUAUUCUUUUGGAUUCAUUUAAGAAAUCAGAAUUUGGCCUUUUGAAAAAUAAUCAGAAUUAGUAUAGAUGAAAGAGUGUGUGGUUACCUUGUCCUUUGGGGAUG